rnacentral:tRNA from 1 species
CGGAGGGGUGGCAGAGCGGUAAUGCGCUGAGCUGAUACCUCAACCAUUCCCGGCUCGCGGGUUAGAUUCCCGCUCCCUCAG